rfam:Schistosoma curassoni strain Dakar, Senegal genome assembly, scaffold: SCTD_scaffold0002100
AUCCAGCUGAAGAGUCCUAGAUAGUACGAAAUGCUCAUCCUUGAU